rnacentral:rRNA from 1 species
CACGUAGGGCGCAAGCGUUGUCCGGAAUUAUUGGGCGUAAAGAGCUCGUAGGCGGUCUGUCGCGUCGGCUGUGAAAUCCCGAGGCUCAACCUCGGGUCUGCAGUCGAUACGGGCAAACUAGAGUAUUGCAGGGGAGACUGGAAUUCCUGGUGUAGCGGUGAAAUGCGCAGAUAUCAGGAGGAACACCGGUGGCGAAGGCGGGUCUCUGGGCAAUAACUGACGCUGAGGAGCGAAAGCGUGGGGAGCGAACAGG